CAGGUGGUCAGGUAGAGAAUACCAAGGCGCUUGAGAGAACUCGGGUGAAGGAACUAGGCAAAAUGGUGCCGUAACUUCGGGAGAAGGCACGCUGACACGUAGGUGAAGUGAUUUACUCACGGAGCUGAAGUCAGUCGAAGAUACCAGCUGGCUGCAACUGUUUAUUAAAAACACAGCACUGUGCAAACACGAAAGUGGACGUAUACGGUGUGACGCCUGCCCGGUGCCGGAAGGUUAAUUGAUGGGGUCAGCGCAAGCGAAGCUCCUGAUCGAAGCCCCGGUAAACGGCGGCCGUAACUAUAACGGUCCUAAGGUAGCGAAAUUCCUUGUCGGGUAAGUUCCGACCUGCACGAAUGGCGUAAUGAUGGCCAGGCUGUCUCCACCCGAGACUCAGUGAAAUUGAACUCGCUGUGAAGAUGCAGUGUACCCGCGGCAAGACGGAAAGACCCCGUGAACCUUUACUAUAGCUUGACACUGAACAUUGAGCCUUGAUGUGUAGGAUAGGUGGGAGGCUUUGAAGUGUGGACGCCAGUCUGCAUGGAGCCGACCUUGAAAUACCACCCUUUAAUGUUUGAUGUUCUAACGUGGACCCGUAAUCCGGGUUGCGGACAGUGUCUGGUGGGUAGUUUGACUGGGGCGGUCUCCUCCUAAAGAGUAACGGAGGAGCACGAAGGUUGGCUAAUCCUGGUCGGACAUCAGGAGGUUAGUGCAAUGGCAUAAGCCAGCUUGACUGCGAGCGUGACGGCGCGAGCAGGUGCGAAAGCAGGUCAUAGUGAUCCGGUGGUUCUGAAUGGAAGGGCCAUCGCUCAACGGAUAAAAGGUACUCCGGGGAUAACAGGCUGAUACCGCCCAAGAGUUCAUAUCGACGGCGGUGUUUGGCACCUCGAUGUCGGCUCAUCACAUCCUGGGGCUGAAGUAGGUCCCAAGGGUAUGGCUGUUCGCCAUUUAAAGUGGUACGCGAGCUGGGUUUAGAACGUCGUGAGACAGUUCGGUCCCUAUCUGCCGUGGGCGCUGGAGAACUGAGGGGGGCUGCUCCUAGUACGAGAGGACCGGAGUGGACGCAUCACUGGUGUUCGGGUUGUCAUGCCAAUGGCACUGCCCGGUAGCUAAAUGCGGAAGAGAUAAGUGCUGAAAGCAUCUAAGCACGAAACUUGCCCCGAGAUGAGUUCUCCCUGAGACUUUAGGUCUCCUGAAGGAACGUUGAAGACGACGACGUUGAUAGGCCGGGUGUGUAAGCGCAGCGAUGCGUUGAGCUAACCGGUACUAAUGAACCGUGAGGCUUAACCUU
rnacentral:rRNA from 1 species